rnacentral:rRNA from 1 species
GUGCCAGCAGCCGCGGUAAUACCGGCAGCCCGAGUGAUGGCCGAUCUUAUUGGGCCUAAAGCGUCCGUAGCUGGCUGCGCAAGUCCGUCGGGGAAUCCACUCGCCCAACGAGUGGCCGUCCGGUGGAAACUCCACACCUUGGGACCGGAAGGCUCGAAGGGUACGGCCGGGGUAGGAGUGAAAUCCCAUAAUCCCGCACGGACCACCGAUGGCGAAAGCACGUCGCGAAGACGGAUCCGACAGUGAGGGACGAAAGCUAGGGUCUCGAACCGGAUUAGAAACCCCGGUAGUCC